AAUCCAUAGGUUAAUGAGGCGAACCGGGGGAACUGAAACAUCUAAGUACCCCGAGGAAAAGAAAUCAACCGAGAUUCCCCCAGUAGCGGCGAGCGAACGGGGAGGAGCCCAGAGCCUGAAUCAGCAUGUGUGUUAGUGGAAGCGUCUGGAAAGGCGCGCGAUACAGGGUGACAGCCCCGUACACAAAAGCGCAUGUGCUGUGAGCUCGAUGAGUAGGGCGGGACACGUGGUAUCCUGUCUGAAUAUGGGGGGACCAUCCUCCAAGGCUAAAUACUCCUGACUGACCGAUAGUGAACCAGUACCGUGAGGGAAAGGCGAAAAGAACCCCGGCGAGGGGAGUGAAAAAGAACCUGAAACCGUGUACGUACAAGCAGUGGGAGCACAGGUUUACCUGUGUGACUGCGUACCUUUUGUAUAAUGGGUCAGCGACUUAUAUUCUGUAGCAAGGUUAACCGAAUAGGGGAGCCGGAGGGAAACCGAGUCUUAAUUGGGCGUUAAGUUGCAGGGUAUAGACCCGAAACCCGGUGAUCUAGCCAUGGGCAGGUUGAAGGUUGGGUAACACUAACUGGAGGACCGAACCGACUAAUGUUGAAAAAUUAGCGGAUGACCUGUGGCUGGGGGUGAAAGGCCAAUCAAACCGGGAGAUAGCUGGUUCUCCCCGAAAGCUAUUUAGGUAGCGCCUCGUGAAUUCAUCUCCGGGGGUAGAGCACUGUUUCGGCUAGGGGGCCAUCCCGGCUUACCAACCCGAUGCAAACUGCGAAUACCGGAGAAUGUUAUCACGGGAGACACACGGCGGGUGCUAACGUCCGUCGUGAAGAGGGAAACAACCCAGACCGCCAGCUAAGGUCCCAAAGUCAUGGUUAAGUGGGAAACGAUGUGGGAAGGCCCAGACAGCCAGGAUGUUGGCUUAGAAGCAGCCAUCAUUUAAAGAAAGCGUAAUAGCUCACUGGUCGAGUCGGCCUGCGCGGAAGAUGUAACGGGGCUAAACCAUGCACCGAAGCUGCG
rnacentral:rRNA from 1 species